GGGUCAUUACAAAGAGGGCUUGUGGGAUGGAGACCAAGAGCUCCUAAUGCUGUGACCAAGAUUAAGAUUCUCCACGGAAUGCCCUAGUCACUCAAUAGUGCUGUGUUUUCUCCUAAGGAGAUAAAAGA
ensembl:snoRNA